rnacentral:rRNA from 1 species
AAGUAGUUUAAGUUGUGUGCAAGUGGUAGGAGAGCGUUCUAUUUGCGUCGAAGGUAUACCGGUAAGGAGUGCUGGAGCGAAUAGAAGUGAGCAUGCAGGCAUGAGUAGCGAUAAUUAAUGUGAGAAUCAUUAACGCCGUAAACCCAAGGUUUCCUACGCGAUGCUCGUCAUCGUAGGGUUAGUCGGGUCCUAAGUCGAGUCCGAAAGGGGUAGACGAUGGCAAAUUGGUUAAUAUUCCAAUACCAACAUUAGUGUGCGAUGGAAGGACGCUUAGGGCUAAGGGGGCUAGCGGAUGGAAGUGCUAGUCUAAGGUCGUAGGAGGUUAUACAGGCAAAUCCGUAUAACAAUACUCCGAGAACUGAAAGGCUUUUUGAAGUCUUCGGAUGGAUAGAAGAACCCCUGAUGCCGUCGAGCCAAGAAAAGUUUCUAAGUUUAGCUAAUGUUGCCCGUACCGUAAACCGACACAGGUGGGUGGGAUGAGUAUUCUAAGGCGCGUGGAAGAACUCUCUUUAAGGAACUCUGCAAAAUAGCACCGUAUCUUCGGUAUAAGGUGUGGUUAGCUUUGUAUUAGGAUUUACUCCGAAAGCAAGGAAACUUACAACAAAGAGUCCCUCCCGACUGUUUACCAAAAACACAGCACUCUGCUAACUCGUAAGAGGAUGUAUAGGGUGUGACGCCUGCCCGGUGCUCGAAGGUUAAUUGAUGGGGUUAGCAUUAGCGAAGCUCUUGAUCGAAGCCCGAGUA